GCAAUCAGCUAACUACACUGCCU
rnacentral:miRNA from 1 species